GUAAUUAUUGGUCAUGAAUUGAUGGGAAAAGAAGAUUUAUUUAAUGUUCCUUGUCCAUCUUUGUUAUUUGGAAUUUAUACUGUGCACAUAUGCUCAGAGCUAAAAUCGUGGCCAUUACAAGACGUCAUAAAAAAAUAUGUUAAAUUACCAUAUGAAAAAAACAAAUAUGCAGUUUUUCCACUGAUACACAUGAUAUAAUAUGUAUCUUGAUACAAACAGAAUGGCCCAGAAAUUUUACGCAAUCGUUGAAUUUGAAGAUGGACUUCAAGUAGUUCCAAGUAAUUGGUUAGACAUAAGUGUCAUGAAAACCGUGUGGCCACAUUUCCUUAGCGAUAGCAGAUAUUACAAAGCCGUAAAGUAUAUGGAGACACCGGAAUCAACUUGGAAACAAUAUACCGUUUUAAAAAUCUAUGGGACAUAUCAAAAUUAUGAAGUCGCAAGAAGAAAAUUGAAACAAGCUGAGGAAAUAUCCGAUCUUAUAAUAAUACUUCUGGUACAGAACAAGACGAAGUACAGAAAAAGUCUAGGAAAAUCAGAGCUGCUAAAGACUUAUCAACAAGCGAAGAAGAAUCAGCAGAUGACAGUAGUUUUACGAUAGAUGUCCCUAAAAUUACGAGUGUUUUCAUCGAAAGAGAUUAUAACUCCAAUAAACAUGCAAAAUGUGCUAACACAGUGAAAGAAACUUCCAUGUCGUCUUAUCACAACAAAAAAGGAGAGAAGGCUGAAUGUCAAUAUAUUCCACAAAAUUUAUCAUUGAACAAGAAAUAAUGAAGAAGCAUAAUAAUAACAGCAGUAAUGGUACAGAUCUCG